UUCCCGCUACCACUAGCACUGAGUCAUCAUAUUCACGGCUUCUUAAAUGAGGUUCAUUCAGGCCAAUGAAGUUUCGCAUAUUUUAUUAAGGCACUCUCAUAAUAUAAGGCAGCCCCUUGAAGUAGUUAAUGGGACACUUUAAGCUUCAUUCAGAAGGGAACCAAUUUUGUGAUCAAGGUGUGCUUCAUGGUCUUCAAGACGACCUUUGAUUGCAUCAUUUUCCCAUCUGAUUAAGGUUGGUACCCCUUUGAGGUUGAACCUCCCAUCUACUCGCCAUGGGUGCUGUGGAGUCCUCCAAGUAGGUCUGUCCCCGACAUAAGCCCUCAGAAGUGCUAUAUCAUCAUAUGAUGCUUCCAGUUUCUUGUAUAUCACAGGUUCAGCUCUUACACAAUCAGGGCACCAACUAAGGUUGGUAGAAGGGUCUAUAUCAGCCAGGAACAGGAUGAAAUUGGCUUUGUUUUUGGGCGACUCUGCUUUAAACUUUUCAAAAACUCCAUCAAAAGUUGUUAUGGUUGCGUCCAACACCUUCAACGGCAUUCUUACUGCUACAAUUCGAUUUCAG
rnacentral:misc_RNA from 1 species